UAACGCAUAAGCAUUCCGCUGGGAGUACGACCGCAAGGUGAAACUCAAAGGAAUUGACGGGGGCCCGCACAAGCGGUGGAGCAUGUGGUUAAUUCGAAGCAACGCGAAGAACUUACCAGGUCUUGACAUCUUUUGAUCACUGAGAGAUCAGGUUUCCCCUUCGGGGGCAAAAUGACAGGUGGUGCAUGGUUGUCGUCAGCUCGUGUCGUGAGAUGUUGGGUUAAGUCCCGCAACGAGCGCAACCCUUAUGACUAGUUGCCAGCAUUUAGUUGGGCACUCUAGUAAGACUGCCGGUGACAAACCGGAGGAAGGUGGGGAUGACGUCAAAUCAUCAUGCCCCUUAUGACCUGGGCUACACACGUGCUACAAUGGAUGGUACAACGAGUUGCGAGACCGCGAGGUCAAGCUAAUCUCUUAAAGCCAUUCUCAGUUCGGACUGUAGGCUGCAACUCGCCUACACGAAGUCGGAAUCGCUAGUAAUCGCGGAUCAGCACGCCGCGGUGAAUACGUUCCCGGGCCUUGUACACACCGCCCGUCACACCAUGAGAGUUUGUAACACCCGAAGCCGGUGGCGUAACCCUUUUAGGGAGCGAGCCGUCUAAGGUGGGACAAAUGAUUAGGGUG
rnacentral:rRNA from 1 species